rnacentral:ncRNA from 18 species
GUUGAUGAGCACAUUCUUUUCUGAUUUAAUGAAGAAAGUGGCCAGGUCUGAGGUAG